AAUUUUCAAAACAAAAGUAAUAGGACUAAGCA
rnacentral:sRNA from 1 species